rnacentral:misc_RNA from 1 species
UCGUAACAAGGUCUCCGUUGGUGAACCAGCGGAGGGACAUUACCGAGUACUAUAACUCAUAACCCUUUGUGAACCUUUAUACCUGUUGCUUCGGCGGCGCGCCUCCCGGGGCGUGCCCGCCGGCAUUAUCAGAAUCUCUGUUCGAACCCGACGAUACAUCUGAGUGUUCUAAGCGAACUGUUAAAACUUUCAACAACGGAUCUCUUGGCUCCAGCAUCGAUGAAGAACGCAGCGAAACGCGAUAUGUAAUGUGAAUUGCAGAAUUCAGUGAAUCAUCGAAUCUUUGAACGCACAUGGCGCCUUCCAGUAUCCUGGGAGGCAUGCCUGUCCGAGCGUCGUUUCAACCCUCGAGCCCCCGUGGCCCGGCGUUGGGGAUCUGCCCAGGCAGUCCCCGAAAACCAGUGGCGGACCCGUUGGGCCCUUCCUUUGCGUAGUAACAUCUGCCUCGCAUCGGGAGCCUGCGGGCUAUCCGGCCUCUAAACCCCCCUCAAGCCCGCUCCGGCGGCACCAAGGUUGACCUCGGAUCAGGUAG